rnacentral:tRNA from 1 species
UGGGAGGUAGUGUAAUGGUAACACACUGCGCUCUGAACGCAGAGACUCUAGGUUCGAGCCCUAGUCUCCCAGCCA